rnacentral:lncRNA from 1 species
UGUCUUGGUACGAGAGUGCUGGGAAGGGAAGAACAUGGUCCCUUUAAAUGAUAUGGAAACGGGGAAGGGAAGUGCUGGGUAGAGAAAGGUGGGUUCCUGGCUCGGGCUCCACCCCGACGGACCUAGGUGAGGACAGGUAUUUCCUGCCCAAAUGUUGCAUUUCCCAAGACCACCCUGGCCUGCCACGCCCCCAUCUUGGGCCUAUAAAAACCCGAGGCGCCCUACCCCCAGCAGGUAGACACAAAAAGCGGCUGAGCAUUGUGAGGAACACGUCGGCAGAGGAAGAUACAAGCCACUGGUCAUCGAGGGCACACUGGCAGAAGAGCACGCCAACAGGCACUAGCAGGUCGACAAGCCGGGCCAUAGACUGGUGGAAUGACGCGAAGUUUUCCAGGGGAAAACCAUCUCCCUUCUGGCUCCCCCAUCUGCUAAGAGUUACUUCUACUCAAUAAGACCUUGUACUCAUUCUCUAAGCCCGUGUGUGCUCCAAUUCUCCUGGUACACCAAGAUGGUACCAGAAGUGGGAUCUGAAGUGGAGCUUCUAGCAACCCCCAGGAGCACUGAAUGAAUAUACAAGGUGCCCGCAGGACCCACUUGUGUCCAUUGAUUUCUCAGAGCGGCUGGGGAUCACGGGAAAAAAAAAAUCAUUGGCGACCAGGCGCGGUGGCUCAUGCCUGUAAUCCCAGCACUCUGGGAGGCCGAGGCGGGUGGAUCACGAGGUCAGGAGAUCAAGGCCAUCCUGGCUAACAUGGUGAAACCCCAACUCUACUAAAACAAAAACAAAAACAAACAAAAAACACAAAAUUAGCCGGACGUGGUGGUGGGCACCUGUAGUCCCAGCUACUCGGGAGGCUGAGGCAGCAGAAUGGCAUGAACCCUGGGAAGCGGAGCUUGCAGUGAGCCGAGAUUGCACCACUGCACUCUAGCUUGGGUGACAGAGCGAGACUCCGUCUCAAAAAAAAAAAAAAAAAAAAAAAUUGGCUACGUUAAUCAAGAGCACCUGAGCAUAAAGCCAAUAUUUUAGGUAAAAAUAGGAUUCUUAAUUUCUGGAAAACUGAGUUCCUUCUGGCUUAUACUUGAGGCCUGGGAGACAGCAAUGUCUUGACAGAAAUGGCAAAAUCUUACUAAAGAUAACUUACAGUGAAGUGCUUUGAAUGAACAACAAUGCAUUGAAGUACAUUUAAAAAUGAGGGCUCUUGGUAAGAUCCCUGUUGGCCAACAACAGGUUUGGCACUACAGGAUGUCAACUACUAUUCUCUUUGGAAUGAUGUGCCUUGUACUCUUUGCUGACAACUGUGGGUGACAGGAUUGGCAUAUACAGGAUCGUGGGACAUGGGGAAAUUUUUCUUCCUCCCAAAGGGAAAACUUGAGAGCUGAUGGGACUGUUGGAAAAAAAAAAAAAUCCCUUCACAACAACAGCAGCAGCAGCCACCUGAACUUUUCAGUGUUGCUGCAAUGGGUGGGUCUUUCACUGGCCUCCCUGAGCAUUUCACCUGAACAUGGUCUUAGGAUCCCCAUGAGGUUGCUGCUCAAGAGAGCCCAGCAGGCUGGCCAGUAACAAACUUUUCUGUAUGUCCCUGAAACAAACAAAACUUGAUGGGGUCUCCAUCUUGUCUUAUAUUCUUGGAGCUUAACCUUGUAACCACUUGACAGUACUUUCUCUUGGCCUCUGCCUCUCAGGGAACAGGAAUUUUAAGGUUUAUGUCACGGUUAGUUCUAAAAUUAUCUUGAGUAGUUAAAAGCCUCUGCAAGCUCAAAAUUAACUACUCUAGAGUCCUUCUAGGAAGGACAAUAGAGACUGCUCUGUGCAGUAGCUCAGUAGAUUAGAUCUUGGCUUUUCACACUGGCUGGCUGGGUUCAAUUCCCUGGUUAGGAAGUAAGCUCCUUCUGGUUUAAUAUCUGUAUAACGUUGUGUGGUCUCUUUUCCUCCAUGGACUAUCUUAAAUUUUUAUUUCUCUGAGCACCUGGGGUGUUACCUUUGGUAAAGUUCAAAAGCUAGAAAUAUCUGCCAUUUGGCCUGCUUAAAAUUGGGUAAUAAGAAAUUUUAAAAGGACUCUAUUAGAGUGCCAUGGUUAAAAUUCAGCUUAAUUAAAAGCAGAUAUUCAAGCUCUAACAGCACUCGUUGGAGAAAACCAGGCACCAGAAAUCCCUUUCCUGGCCCUAUUCUUCCAAGGGCUCCACCCUAAAGCCAAUAAGCAAUUUAAGAAAUUUAAAAACUGGCAAAUGAAAAAUCUUAACUACUGUAGUAAUCUGUCUGUGUAAUUAUAUAUGUGUUAUAUGUAAUGUUUAUCUAAAAGAGCUCUAAUUAAAGAUAAGCACUUAAAUAUUUGAAAGCAAAAUAAAAACUGUAAUGCCUUUCAGUUCAUGUAACUUUAGUAAUCUUUGGGAAAUAAAAACAGCUGUAAAGAUUAUUAAUAAAAUACAUUUUGUCUAAAUUAUGCAGGUCAGAUAUUAGGUUUGCUAAAUGCUUUAAGGUCAAACUGCUUUGCCUUUUGAAAAUUGUUGAAUUUAUUUUGAAAACAUUAAAUUCUAAAUAAGGCCUGGGGAUAUAUGGAAUUAGCCAUGCCCCCAGCUAUGCAAAGAAGUUUAUAAAGAGAAGAAAUUUUGGCCAGGCGUGGUGGCUCAUGCCUGUAAUGCCAGCACUUUGGGAGACCAAGGUUGGUGGAUCACUUGAGGUUGGGAGUUCGAGACCAGCCUGACUAACAAGGUGAAACCUCAUCUCUACUAAAAAUACAAAAAUUAGCCGGGUGUGGUGGCAGGCACCUGUAGUCCCAACUACUCGGGAGGCCGAGACAGGAGAAUUUCUUGAACCCAAGAGGUGGAGGUUGCAGUGAGCUGUGAUCACACCACUGCACUGCAGCUUGGGUAAUGGAGUGAGACUCCAUCUCAAAAAAAUAAAAAUAAAAAUAAAAAAGAUUUUAUAUAAGAACAUUGUAUGGAAAAUUUUUGUCUUGAAGUAAAGUGGCUUGUUUAAAAAGAGUGAUGUUUAGGGCAAGUCAGAAAGUCUAAACAUGUCAUACAUGGUCUGUGUAAGUUGUGAAAGAAUUUAUGAAAAGAAAUUUAUGCCAGAAAUUUUGUACAAUUUAAACGUGAUUGGGCCUCCUAAAUGCAUCAUAAAAUGCCAUAUGACUCUUAAUUGUAGAGCUUGCCUGAUUUAUAGCUAGAUAAGGCCUGGGACACAGGGAGUUAGACACUGGAAAGACUCAGACCUUAUCUGCAUUUCUGUCUGGGUCCUAGGCUCCAAACCUAGUACAUAAUUAAAAUUCCUUACUUACCAAGGUUUUCACCAAAAGUAAGUCUCUAAGAGUAACAUUGUAAUAUGUAAUUAAGACUACUGAAAAAGUUUUCAUGCAAGGUGUGUUAAGGAGAAUAAAAUGUAUUUUUGUAAGAUAUUAUAAGAAAGUACUAGAACAUAAAUUUUACCUAGGUUAGAGGGUUAAAGCGUUGUUUAAAAUUAAAUUUAAAGGUUUGAACAAGUUGUGAAAGGUUUAUAAAAAUUACAAGAAUCUAUGUGUGAACAUAUUGGCUAAAGUUAAAAUAGCAUUAUUCCGUUUUUUUUUUCCCAUAAAUUGGACAUUGGAAUAGAAGCACAACAGUUUUCUUAACUUUUUUCUACUCUGAGGAAAAAAAUGUAAAUUAUUAUAAAAGUUUUAUAAAAGUCUUAUGUUAUGGUCAAACUAAUUAAAAGUGAAUUGUUUUAUAAAAUGUUAUUAAAAACUAGCUUUAACAUUAAAAAUAGACUAAUGGAAACAUAAAA